UAAGUGCAGUAAAUGAGUUUGGCAAAGCUGGACUCUUAUCUGCGCUGUGGGUAUUGAUUUUGGCUUUUGAAGUUGCUUUUCUGGUGGACAAAGCUGACCAGCUAUUUACAGAUUGUUGAGCAUCUUCACUGGAUUGUUGUGUAUCAGCAGAAGGAUGUAAAUCAUUAGAAACUGCAGCUGAUGUAUUUACCAAAGAGAUCAUACUGCCUUGUUGAAUAUCAGGCUGGUUAGAGGUAUCCAGUAAUGUGUUCUGCGCAACCUCAUUAUCUGUAAUACUUGCUGUUAUUUGCCCAAAAAGAUCAUACAGCCUUGUUGAAUAUCAGGCUGGUUAGAGGCAUCCAGUUGAAAUAUGUUCUGCGCAUCCUCAUUAUCUGUAAUACUUGUUGUCAUUUGCAUAUUUGUCUUGAGAAUGU
rnacentral:lncRNA from 1 species